rnacentral:lncRNA from 1 species
GAUGGCAUUAUCAUGUGCAUUUGUUAUGCUCCCCAAUUGUUUGAUAAAAUGCCUAUGUGAAUUAAAUAGUGAUAUAAUGAUAAGUUAGCAUGUGUUCCAUUCAUGUAUAAGUUCAUAAGUUAGCAUGUGUUCCAUUCAUGUAUAAGUUCAUGUCUCUCAAGUGUUGGACAAAAUGUCUAAGUGAAUGCAUUGUUAAGAAGCAAUUAUUGUCAUGUUUUCAAGAUUAUGCCAUGCUUGACUGUUGAUGUUAUCGAGUCCUUGGGGUACUCAAUACCCGAUUAUCUAGAGGUUUACCUAGAAUUACAGUAACUAUAGAAUAGUCUCAGUAACAUCACAAACAUUAGUACUCAUUCAAUUACAGUACUCAGAGAACUCAGUCCAGUACAGUCAGUAAAUAUGAUCAGUAACAGUUCAAUCAAGCCUAGUAUAGUCUAGUAAUCAGUUCAGUGUCCAUUCAGUUGGGCGUAAGAUUCAGCACCGAUUGAACCAAGGGAUGGGGGCAUUCCGUAGAGGGUUUGACCCUUAGUAGCAGUCCCUGCGCUACAGAACUAUGUAGCCAGCAUAGGAUAAGACAUCCUCAGACUAGGGUUGAUGCAACCAUAUAUAUAUAUAUAUAUUUGAUGAGUCUUCCUUCCAGAUGAGGGUUGACCCAGCAUUGUUAGUAUCUCUUGGCAAGGUGCUAACACCCUUCCAACUGGGGUUACAGGUUGGCACCUAACUCAGUUUAUAAUUGGGGUAUGUCGAUAAGAUGAAUACUCCUACAGUUACAGUUUCAGCUUCAGACCUAGUAUAGAACUUAUUCAGUUCUACAAAAUUAGGACUAUCA